rnacentral:lncRNA from 1 species
AAAUUGUUUUGCGUCGCUCCUCUAGAUGUUCUGCUUGAUGCUGAGAUUCGAUUUCGGGGUUGCGAGAAAAACAAAUGGUUUCUCAAAAGUUCUUUCCAGUAUUUCUCUCUGCUUUCUGCUCUUAAAUCUCAAUUUAUUGCCAUUUUGAUUUUAUCUGGCGACGCUGGUUUUUAAUUUGUAGAUUGAUGAGUAAAUUUUGUUCGGCGAUGACUGAAUUUAUACAGCACUAGGCCUGAACAUGAAAAGAUUUUUAUUUUUUAUUUUAAGAUUUAUGGUUCUAUUGGCGUUUCCAAAUUUCUGGCUUAAUUUUGAAUGAGAGAUGCUGAGAUGAAUGAUUCAUAUAGAGUACAGAUGCUAACAAUUGAAACACCAUAGGCAUGCCGAAGAGAAAUACUUGUCUGCAAUCACUCUGUGGUACACAGCUUUAUUAUGAUGAUAAUUCCAUUAGGUUUUGCCAUUUCUGGUUACGGAUGUGUAGCAUAUGAAAAUGAUCAGGGCCUUGUUUCAUUCAUUCAUCCACUGUUUGUUUGGGACCUGAAAGCACAAACCAGUUGAAGCCUAGUAUGAUUUUCCUUUUAGAACAUGAGGAUGUGGGCCUCCAAUUCAUGGGUUUUUUUUUUUUAUAUAUAUAGCUUGUUGCUUCAUUCCAAAAUAUAAGGGUAUUCCAGUAUAACAUCCUUUCCUCAUUGUUUAGCAAAUUAACUAACGCCCAUGUGCUUCUCCAUCAGGUCAUGCUCCUUCUUAGCUGUCCUCACAAUUUUGGGCCACUUCCCUUCUAAUGGUUCAAUUCUUAUGCAGGAUCAGGAAAAGGGAAGCCUGACUACCUUGCUACAGUGGAUGUAGAUCCAAGCUCACCUUCUUAUUCAAAAGUUAUCCACCGGCUUCCUGUACCUUAUUUAGGGGAUGAACUACACCACUCUGGGUGGAACUCCUGCAGCUCUUGCCAUGGUGAUUCAUCACAAGAACGGCGUUUUCUUGUCCUACCUUCCUUGGUGUAAGAACUGGAAUUUAUGUUGCAUUAGGGACUACAUAUUUUAAGCUUGUAGCAGUUUAGUAAUAAUACUGGUAUGAAGAAUGAGUGCAGAGUCUAACUUUUUACUUAUUGCGAUUAAAUCUCAACUUCUAAUUCUGAAUGUCCACUAAAUGCAUGCAAAUGUUGGGAACAUCCCACAAGACUGCAAAUGGGAUCCACAAAACUGAAAGAUUUUGAAAAUUGUAACUCAGCAGUUGGUAAUUUCUGUGCCUCUGUACAGUGAUGGGUUAGUCCCUAAUUUGUUUGGUAACUAAUUUUACCUGACAGAAAGGUAUUAAUAUUUUGUAAUUUUUUUCCUCAUCCCUGAUUGCUUUAGAGUUUUAUCUUCUUUUUUUUUUCAGGUC